AUUGAACGCUGGCGGCAUGCUUUACACAUGCAAGUCGAACGGUAACAGCACUUCGGUGGCUGACGAGUGGCGAACGGGUGAGUAAUACAUCGGAACGUGCCUAGUAUUGGGGGAUAACUACUCGAAAGAGUAGCUAAUACCGCAUGAGAUCUAAGGAUGAAAGCAGGGGACCUUCGGGCCUUGCGCUACUAGAGCGGCUGAUGGCAGAUUAGGUAGUUGGUGGGAUAAAAGCUUACCAAGCCGACGAUCUGUAGCUGGUCUGAGAGGACGACCAGCCACACUGGGACUGAGACACGGCCCAGACUCCUACGGGAGGCAGCAGUGGGGAAUUUUGGACAAUGGGCGCAAGCCUGAUCCAGCAAUGCCGCGUGCAGGAUGAAGGCCUUCGGGUUGUAAACUGCUUUUGUACGGAACGAAAAGCCCUCUUCUAAUACAGGAGGGUCAUGACGGUACCGUAAGAAUAAGCACCGGCUAACUACGUG
rnacentral:rRNA from 1 species